rnacentral:rRNA from 1 species
CCUACGGGUGGCAGCAGUGGGGAAUAUUGGACAAUGGGCGAAAGCCUGAUCCAGCCAUGCCGCGUGUGUGAAGAAGGCCUUCGGGUUGUAAAGCACUUUCAGUGGGGAAGAAAGCCUUGGGGCUAAUACCCUCGAGGAAGGACAUCACCCACAGAAGAAGCACCGGCUAACUCCGUGCCAGCAGCCGCGGUAAUACGGAGGGUGCGAGCGUUAAUCGGAAUUACUGGGCGUAAAGCGCGCGUAGGCGGUCUGAUAAGCCGGUUGUGAAAGCCCCGGGCUCAACCUGGGAACGGCAUCCGGAAAUGUGAGGCCAGGGGCCAGGAGAGGAGGGUAGAAAAGCCGGGGUAGCGGUGAGAUGCGGAGAGAGCGGGAGGAAUAGCAGUGGCGAAGGCGGCCUUAAGGACAGACACUGACGCUGAGAGGCGGAAGCGUAGUUAGCACGCAGGAUUAGAGACCCGAAUAGU